AAAAUUGACAUGAAACUUUCUAAAGAGGCUUGAGUCUGCUUAUAAGGUCGCAGUAAUUUGUGUGUACAUGUUUGUGUCGGGGUACAUGUGUCUACAGGUGCAUGUCCACAGGUGGGAAUAAGGAGGUCAAAGGUCAAUACUGGGUAUCAUUCUCAGUCACUCUCUACUGUAUUGAUUUUGUGACAUGGUCUCAAGCUGACCAUGGAAUUACCAAUUUAGCUAGACUGGGGCUCUGUCAAGCCACAGGGUUUCUUUCUUCUCCAUUUCACAGGCACCAGGAUGAUUAGCUUGGAGCACAGUCCCAUGACUUUUUACAUGUUCUCUGGAGACUGCACUCAGAUCCUCAUGCAUGUAUCAGAAAUAAUUUAGCAGAGGUGCUACCUCUUUCUGGCAGUGGCCAUGUAGCUGCUGCAAGGAAUA
rnacentral:sRNA from 1 species